GAUGAACGCUGGCGGCGUGCCUAAUACAUGCAAGUCGAGCGAACAGACGAGGAGCUUGCUCCUCUGACGUUAGCGGCGGACGGGUGAGUAACACGUGGAUAACCUACCUAUAAGACUGGGAUAACUUCGGGAAACCGGAGCUAAUACCGGAUAAUAUAUUGAACCGCAUGGUUCAAUAGUGAAAGACGGUUUUGCUGUCACUUAUAGAUGGAUCCGCGCCGCAUUAGCUAGUUGGUAAGGUAACGGCUUACCAAGGCAACGAUGCGUAGCCGACCUGAGAGGGUGAUCUGCCACACCGGGACUGAGACACGGUCCAGACUCCUACGGGAGGCAGCAGUAGGGAAUCUUCCGCAAUGGGCGAAAGCCUGACGGAGCAACGCCGCGUGAGUGAUGAAGGUCUUCGGAUCGUAAAACUCUGUUAUUAGGGAAGAACAAAUGUGUAAGUAACUAUGCACGUCUUGACGGUACCUAAUCAGAAAGCCACGGCUAACUACGUG
rnacentral:rRNA from 1 species